rnacentral:snoRNA from 1 species
AAACUUGACGAUGAAGAUCUCGUGUCGUACAUCCUCGCAGGACUCAACUCCGACUAUGAUCCCGUGGUUUCAGCGGUUGCAGCCCGCGUGGAACCAAUCUCGGUGGCUGAGCUGAUCACACAGCUCACAAGCUUCGAGC